AAAGUGGUGGUAACAUAAGGACAAAAAAAAAGUAUCAGAGAGAGGUGAACAUACCACCACGUCAGAGAGAGAAGCGUGAGAAACUGAGAGGGAAGCGUGAGAGACAGAGAGAGAAGCGUGAGAAACUGACAGAAUAGAACCAAAAUUCGUGAAAUAAUCUAACCACCACGCCAGACGAAUUCAAGAACCAGGCUUCUUUUAUAUGGGUGAGUGAAGAAGAUGAAGAAAAAUUGCUGAAGAAGAAGAAGAAGAAGAAGAAGAAUUGAUGGGUGGUGGUGUGGCGGUCGGCUUUGCGUUCUUUAUAUAAAGAAGACGAAGAUUUGCAGGAAAGAUCUUCAAGAUUUCAAUUCAAAACAGGUAAGGCAAACAUCCUUGUUGUUCACGACUUCGAAUUUCUGUCGAAUUCCAAUUCUUCCCGAAAUUGUUUCCUAAAACGUAUCCUAAAUUUGGGAUACCCGUAUCUAUCUGGUCAGAUACGCGUGUCCUUUUCUGAUUGACCGUAUCCGUUGACUCGGAUACGUAUCCCGUGUGUAUCUUUGCGUAUCCCAGCGUAUCGUAUCCCCCAGCGUAUCAUCAUGAGAGGUAGUGAGUACCACUUUGACUAGAUUAGUGGCAUGUUUAUCCGAAUAUAAAGCAGCUGUUUUGCCAGUUUUAUUUUGGGAAAGAGAAAGCUCAUCCUUUGAUGGGCAUCCAGAAAUAGUAUAAGAGCCUGUCAAAUGACACGAGAUCAAAAUUCAUUAAAAUGCUCCACAAAAUGAAGCAGAUUUGACCAUGUGGUUUUCUGAACACAGACUUGGAGAUGGGCAUUGUAGCUCUCCAAAAAGAUAUGACUUGUCAGAAUAUGUUUGUCCCAGAACCGUUUGUUUCAAAAGAAAAUUUUUACCCUCCAGUAUCAUUUAUUUUAAAUAACAGUUGGAUUCUUCUUGUUUAGGUAAAAAGGUAUAUAGAUAUUUAUUCAGCUUCAUUUGUUAAUGGUUUUUCAAAUGAAGACUUGUUGCACAUAGCAAGCGUGUAUGCUAACAUACUACAAAGAAGUUGCUGUUAUAUAAGAAGGGAAGCCACAAUGAGUUAUUGCCUGCUCUUAGGAGGAAAAUUGAUUUGUAUUCUGAAUUUGUAGCAAGUGUUGCUGAACUUGCUCGCUCCGAACGGACUAAGUUUAAUUUAAAGAUGAUGGGUACUGGACUUGGCAUUAUGUUGAUAUCGCUUCUUCUCCACUUGGAAUUAAGAAAGUGAAGGAGCAAUAUGGUUUUUGUUUUACUUCAUCUGGAGAUUCUGGGCUUUCCUUCGGGUUGAUUUUUUCUUGUUUUAUGGUGGUCAUACUCAUACAUGCAAGCAGCUUCCUCUCGAAUAGUUUCAUCUGUAAAUAAUAGGUACUGUUCAUUUCUGUAUGGAUGCACAGAAUCCGUGGUUAAUGCUCACAUUGGCAAAUUGUUGUUUUGAAGCUGAGAGACAGCUUCAGAAUUUGCUUUUGAUUUCAGAGUUUCUCUGGCAGCUCGGCUUCUGCCAGUUGCUGGUAACAAGUUGAUUAAUUGCAGCGGGACAGGGGAAACAACUGAGACAUCGAAUUAGCGCCGCCAACGCUCAUUACGGAUCUUCAUCAAGCACUCCAUGCUGUUAAUCAGAACUCAAAAUGAGGGCUUCUUUUAUGGAAAAAAAUAAAAGCACUCCGUGAUGUGCAUUUUCCUGUGGCAACUAAUUAUUUUCCUAGACUAAUGCUAAUAUAUGCCAUUGGAUUUGGACAAUUGUUAUUACUGACGUUUAAUCAGCUGUUCAGUAAAGGGAAAUCGUCAGAUCACAGCAAUCUCUUGUAUAUUAAAACAGUCGCCAUGUUUUCUGCAUGGAGCUCAACAAUCAUUAUUCUGUUGGGAAAACAGGGGCCCUGGGUUGCUUUAGCAUUCAUAAUUGGAGG